CCUACGGGAGGCAGCAGUGAGGAAUAUUGGUCAAUGGACGGAAGGCUGAACCAGCCAUGCCGCGUGCAGGAAGAAGGCGCUAUGAGUUGUAAACUGCUUUUGUAAGAGGGUAAAUUCAGACACGUGUAUCGGGCCGAGAGUACCUGACGAAUAAGCAUCGGCUAACUCCGUGCCAGCAGCCGCGGUAAUACGGAGGAUUCAAGCGUUAUCCGGAUUUAUUGGGUUUAAAGGGUGCGUAGGCGGUUCGAUAAGUUAGAGGUGAAAUCCCGGGGCUCAACUCCGGCACUGCCUCUGAUACUGUCUGUCUAGAGUUUAGUUGCGGUAGGCGGAAUGUAUGGUGUAGCGGUGAAAUGCAUAGAGAUCAUACAGAACACCGAUUGCGAAGGCAGCUUACCAACCGACGGCUGACGUUGAGGCACGAAAGCGUGGGGAGCAAACAGGAUUAGAUACCCCAGUAGUC
rnacentral:rRNA from 1 species